GCACGAAAGCGUGGGGAUCAAACAGGAUUAUAUACCCUGGUAGUCCACGCCGUAAACGCAUUCGGAUACUCGACAUUUGCGAUAUACUGUAAGUGUCUGAGCGAAAGCAUUAAGUAUCCCACCUGGGUAGUACGACCGCAACGGUUGAGACUCUAAGGACAUUGACGGGGGUCCGCACAAGCGGUGGAGCAUGUGCGUCUUAAUUCGAUGAUACGCGAGGAACCUUACCUGGGCUAGAAUGCGAUCUUGACCGUGGGUGAAAGCUCAUUUUGUAGCAAUACACAGAUCGUAGGGUGCUGCAUGGCUGUCGUCAGCUCAGUAGCCGUGAGGUGUUGGGUUAAGUCCCGCAACGAGCGCAACCCGUAUCAAUAAUUGCCAUCAGGUUACUGCUGGGAACUCUAGUGAAAUCUGCCGUCGUAAGACGUGAGGAAGGAGGGGAU
rnacentral:rRNA from 1 species